rnacentral:lncRNA from 1 species
UAUCACAUACAACCAAAUUUAAACUAUGACAUCCACAAGGCAUAUAAAAAGCUCUACUAUUUAUAUCAAGCAAUCGUUUUUGAACACCUUGGUGUUUUCCUUUCAUAUUUGCCCCAUUAUCAUACCCUUGACCACGAAUAUAAUUAAUAUCCAAAUCAAGAGAUUUUAGAACAUCUUGUAAAACAUUAAAAAGACCUAGACGAGAUGUAUCUUCUACAUUUAAAAACUCAAAAAAAAAACUCUUCUACUUUUAGUGGAACGUUUUCCAAAUCUGCACAUCUUAUAAUCAAAGUCAUUUGUUCUUGGUGACUAGCAUCCAGAGUGCAAUCAAGAAUUACAGAAAAAUAUUUUGCAUUUUUUAUUUUUUUAAUAAUUGCACUUUUUACCUCGGAUGCCAACAUAUCAAUUAAUUCAUUUUGAAUUUUAUGACUAAGAUAAUGAUUAUGUGUUUCUUUGUCUUUAAUCAUUCGAAAAUGUUCUUUCAUUACCGGAUCCCAUUCAGCAAUUGAUUCAAUUACACUUAAAAAAUUACCAUUUGAGUUUUCAUAAAUUUUUUCAUUUGUACCACGAAAAGCUAAGUUAUUUUUUGCUAAACAUUUGACAACAGAAAUAAUUCUAACCAUAACUUCUUUCCAAUGUUCGGUAUCUUUUUUAAUCAUUUCUUGUAGCUCUUUAUCAAUUGUUUCAUUUUUAUUUAACCUAAUACGUGUUUCAGUCCAAGUUCUUAAACAAACCAUAUGAUUAGAACUAUUUUCAUGUUGUUUUAAUGUUUCACUAAGAUGCUUCCAAUCUUUAAUUCCUUCGGUUGCCAAAUUACUUUUAGUUCGAACCGUUUUAAAAAGUUUACAACAAAAACAAAAAACUUUAUCAAGUUCUUUUGAAUACACUAACCAUUUUCUAUCAUAACAAUCACCAUUUUUUAAUUUACGUGUAUAAAAAUCAAAAGAAAAAUGUCUACCAAGUGCGUCUUUUGGAAAAAUUAUGUUUGUAUCAAUUUCUCUAUUUGGCCCUUUUUCUAUUAGUAAAUCUUUCAUUUCUGAAUCUAAAUCAUCUCAUACUCUAGGAUCAAAAAUAUUAAAAUCACUUGGUUUAUCUUUCUCAACAAAGUCAUUUUUAUCAAAAUCAUUAGAAAGGUCAACUGAAUCAUUGGAAGUACUUGGUGGAAUAUUAAAAUUAUCGUUUUUUUCAAAAUCACUAACAUUUUGAUUUCUAACCAAAAUUUUAUUCAAAGACCCUCAUAAUUCAUUAGCCUCUUGUUGUUCCUUUUUUUUUUUCGUUUUCUAUUUUGUGCACCAGAUGGUUGUUUUCGGGGAAUCAUAUUUAAAACAAAACAAAUCUACUUAUAAACACUAAACAAGGAAUGAAGGAAAGAUACAACCUGAACAAUAACACACAGCAGUAAAAUUUGAGCAACCUUCACAGCUUCACAGUUGUCAAAUAUCA